rfam:Brachypodium distachyon strain Bd21 chromosome 2, whole genome shotgun sequence.
GUUGUAUUUCCUCCGUUCAACAAAUAAUGUCUCAAUUUUGACUAAAUUUGAAUGCAUCUAUAUACUAGUCAUGUCUAGAUACAUUUAAAUUUUAACAAACUUGAGACAUCUUUUGUUGGACGGAGAAAGUACUAU